GGUCGCAAGACUGACCCAGCCAUGCCGCGUGCAGGAAGACGGCCCUCUGGGUUGUAAACUGCUUUUAUCUGGGAAGAAAAAGUCCAUGCGUGGAAAAUUGCCGGUACCAGAUGAAUAAGCACCGGCUAACUCCGUGCCAGCAGCCGCGGUAAUACGGAGGGUGCAAGCGUUGUCCGGAUUUAUUGGGUUUAAAGGGUGCGUAGGCGGCUGAAUAAGUCAGCGGUGAAAGACUUCGGCUUAACCGGAGCAGUGCCGUUGAUACUGUUUAGCUUGAGUGUUGGAGGGGUACAUGGAAUUGAUGGUGUAGCGGUGAAAUGCAUAGAUACCAUCAGGAACACCGAUAGCGAAGGCAUUGUACUGGCCAACAACUGACGCUGAGGCANGAAAGUGUGGGGAUCGAACAGGAUUAGAUNCCCUGGUAGUCCACACUGUAAACGAUGAUUACUCGCUGUUAUGCUGUAUAGUGUAGCGGCC
rnacentral:rRNA from 1 species